rnacentral:rRNA from 1 species
GACGAACGCUGGCGGCGUGCCUAACACAUGCAAGUCGAACGGACUGCGAGGAGCUUGCUCCUCAAAGUUAGUGGCGGACGGGUGAGUAACGCGUGAGUAACCUGCCUUACAGAGGGGGAUAACGUUUGGAAACGAACGCUAAUACCGCAUAAUGUAUCUGAUAUCGCAUGGUAUUGAUACCAAAGAUUUUAUCGCUGUAAGAUGGACUCGCGUCUGAUUAGAUAGUUGGCGGGGUAACGGCCCACCAAGUCGACGAUCAGUAGCCGGACUGAGAGGUUGAACGGCCACAUUGGGACUGAGACACGGCCCAGACUCCUACGGGAGGCAGCAGCGAGGGAUAUUGCACAAUGGGCGCAAGCCUGAUGCAGCAACGCCGCGUGAGGGAUGACGGUUUUCGGAUUGUAAACCUCUGUCUUUGGUGAAGAUAAUGACGGUACCAUAGGAGGAAGUCACGACUAACUACGUG